GUUUUGUUUUGCUUUAUAUUCGAUUUUGUUUUAAAAGGCUGUUAUUAAAAUCUUUACAAUUUGGCAUUCAUGUACUUUCAAUGAACAUUGCGUUAUAUGUAUGUGGGUCAGCUUGUGUGUGUGUGUGUGUGUGUGUGUGUUUGUGUGUUUGGCCGGUUGAACACAGGGAAACUAAUAAACGGCGCAACGCACUCACACACACACAUAGAAAUGUAGGUCACAAAACCAAUAGAUUCAACAACAGAAUUAAAGAAAACACAACGCAAACACACACACAUAAUCAAAUAAAGCUGAAAUAAAUAAAAGAAUAUAGAGUAGUCCAAUAAAUGCAAAGGUCUGGCAAAGAAGAAAUAAAAAAACAAACAAACUCAUAGAAAAAGUGCUCCUAAAUUGCAAUAUAAACAACGAUGGCGGAAAACCAAGCGCAACCAAAAACGAGCGAACGCAAAACGAACCAAAUACUUUGCAAAACCAAAAACCACGGGAUCGAGCUAACAGAAGUAAAAUCAAAAAUGGCGCAACAAAAAAAAAAAAA